rnacentral:rRNA from 1 species
GACGAACGCUGGCGGCGUGCUUAACACAUGCAAGUCGAACGAAGAGCGAUGGAAGCUUGCUUCUAUCAAUCUUAGUGGCGAACGGGUGAGUAACGCGUAAUCAACCUGCCCUUCAGAGGGGGACAACAGUUGGAAACGACUGCUAAUACCGCAUACGAUCUAACCUCGGCAUCGAGGAAAGAUGAAAGGUGGCCUCUAUGUAUAAGCUAUCACUGAAGGAGGGGAUUGCGUCUGAUUAGCUAGUUGGAGGGGUAACGGCCCACCAAGGCGAUGAUCAGUAGCCGGUCUGAGAGGAUGAACGGCCACAUUGGGACUGAGACACGGCCCAGACUCCUACGGGAGGCAGCAGUGGGGAAUCUUCCGCAAUGGACGAAAGUCUGACGGAGCAACGCCGCGUGAGUGAUGACGGCCUUCGGGUUGUAAAGCUCUGUUAAUCGGGACGAAAGGCCUUCUUGCGAAUAGUAGAAGGAUGACG